rnacentral:pre_miRNA from 1 species
CCGCCUCUGCUGCUCUGUCGUUUUUUUAGGUUUUGAUUUUUGUGAGUUUUCGAUGAGAAAAUCAAAACCUAAAGAAAAUACAGCGC